rnacentral:rRNA from 1 species
UCCUACGGGGGGCAGCAGUGGGGAAUAUUGGGCAAUGGGCGCAAGCCUGACCCAGCGACGCCGCGUGAGGGAUGAAGGUCUUCGGAUUGUAAACCUCUUUCAGUGGGGAAGAAGCGAAAGUGACGGUACCCAAAGAAGAAGCACCGGCUAACUAUGUGCCAGCAGCCGCGGUAAUACAUAGGGUGCAAGCGUUGUCCGGAAUUAUUGGGCGUAAAGAGCUCGUAGGUGGUUUAUCACGUCGGAUGUGAAAUUCUGAGGCUCAACCUCGGACCUGCAUUCGAUACGGGCAAACUAGAGUGUGGUAGGGGAGACUGGAAUUCCUGGUGUAGCGGUGGAAUGCGCAGAUAUCAGGAGGAACACCAAUGGCGAAGGCAGGUCUCUGGGCCAUUACUGACACUGAGGAGCGAAAGCGCGGGGAGCGAACAGGAUUAGAUACCCUGGUAGUCCGCGCCGUAAACGGUGGGCACUAGUUGUGGGAACCUUCCACGGUUUCCGCGACGCAGCUAACGCAUUAAGUGCCCCGCCUGGGGAGUACGAUCGCAAGAUUAAAACUCAAAGGAAUUGACGG